AUUGUUUUGGCAGAUUAGUGCAAUAAAUUUAGAAUUUAUGAAUGUAUAUGGUUAUACAAAUAAUA
rnacentral:tRNA from 1 species